rnacentral:rRNA from 1 species
GGCGAACGGGUGAGCAACACGUGAGUAACCUGCCCUUGACUCUGGGAUAACUGCGGGAAACUGUAGCUAAUACCGGAUACGACCCUCGGCGGCAUCGCCAGGGGGUGGAAAGAAUUUCGGUCAAGGAUGGACUCGCGGCCUAUCAGCUAGUUGGUGAGGUAACGGCUCACCAAGGCGACGACGGGUAGCCGGCCUGAGAGGGUGACCGGCCACACUGGGACUGAGACACGGCCCAGACUCCUACGGGAGGCAGCAGUGGGGAAUAUUGCACAAUGGGCGCAAGCCUGAUGCAGCAACGCCGCGUGAGGGAUGACGGCCUUCGGGUUGUAAACCUCUUUUAGUAGGGAAGAAGCGAAAGUGACGGUACCUGCAGAAAAAGCACCGGCUAACUACGUGCCAGCAGCCGCGGUAAUACGUAGGGUGCAAGCGUUGUCCGGAAUUAUUGGGCGUAAAGAGCUCGUAGGCGGUUUGUCGCGUCUGCUGUGAAAUCCCGAGGCUCAACCUCGGGCCUGCAGUGGGUACGGGCAAACUAGAGUGUGGUAGGGGAGAUUGGAACUCCUGGUGUAGCGGUGGAAUGCGCAGAUAUCAGGAAGAACACCGAUGGCGAAGGCAGAUCUCUGGGCCAUUACUGACGCUGAGGAGCGAAAGCGUGGGGAGCGAACAGGAUUAGAUACCCUG